rnacentral:rRNA from 1 species
CACGUAGGCGGGUAUUUAAGUCAGGGGUGAAAUCCCGGAGCUCAACUCCGGAACUGCCUUUGAUACUGGGUACCUAGAGUAUGGAAGAGGUAAGUGGAAUUCCGAGUGUAGAGGUGAAAUUCGUAGAUAUUCGGAGGAACACCAGUGGCGAAGGCGGCUUACUGGUCCAUUACUGACGCUGAGGUGCGAAAGCGUGGGGAGCAACAA